AUGGACGGCGAGGUCCUCACCGCCUUUGACGUCUGCUGCUUCCCGGUCUGGUGCCCCUGCUACGUGCACGAGCACAAGGAGGGCACCCAGGCCUGCCUCCAGCGCUUCUGCCAGCUCGACCGCAGCGCAAAGGGCUUCAUCUCCGAGGACAAGUACCUCUCCGUCCCGGAGUUCUCCACCAACCCGCUCUCCCAGCCGCCGGAGCUCUGCUUUCAGUGCUGUCAUUCCGAUUCAGAGAUGCAGGAAGAACAGCUGACGGGCGCCCCCGAGGUGGUCAUGUGGGAUCCUCUCGAACAGCUCGUGCUCGCUGUCGACUUCGAUGGCAGGGUCACCCGCUCCAUCGCCCCCCUCUCCGGAGGGAUGUACUACUCGGAUUUCAUCCCCUACGUCAACUCAUACACAGAGAUCUACAUGUACUACUCGGAUUAA
rnacentral:rRNA from 1 species